ensembl:lncRNA
CAGACACUCUCUCUAAGUCUGACUGGAACCAGAGGUCUAGGAAAGCAAUUUCAAGUAGAAUCAGGGACUCCUCGUCUAGGGGAGUUGAUCUGAUACAGCAGGUUACUUAGAACUUUUCUGCAGGGGAGACACCAAAGAACUCGAUGUCCUAGUACUGGUGGGAAAUCUCUAACAUGAUGUCAUUGAAGCACUGUUAGUGCUACAUACUUCUGUUUUGUGGUUGGUUUUACAUUGGAUCAAAUGAAAUCUAAUGACGUUUUAGUGGAAGUGGGAGAAUGGGUAAGAGGAACUAUUUUUGAAAAUACUGCCUUUAGUUCCCUGACCAGGGAUUGAACCUGUGCCCUGACCGGUGGAAGCUGAGUCCCAACCACUGGACCUAAUUGCCAACCCACAGGAAGAUGAGUCUAUGGUGAUCAGCAGAUUAAUUCUUUAAAGUGGAAGACUGCCAGCAAGAUGUGUCAGCAGCUCUCCUUGGCGGCAGAAGGUGGGAGAGCCUGCCUUUUGGGAGGACUUAUUCUGCAAUUCAUGGGGUCGCAAAGAGUCGGACACGACUGAGCGACUGAACUGAACUGAACUGAUUCUGGAUGUUUUAGUUUAGUUUUAUUUUUGCAGAAGUGGGAUCAAAUGGCACAUCUACCUUUGUAAUAUGCUUUUUGACUUGAUAAUAUGUCCUAGAGCUCGUAACCAUGUCAACCUGUGUAGUCUUUUUAUAACUGCUGUGGAGGGUCCCUAUAUCAUGUUUUAACUACUUCUUUUUAUUAAGGACAAGAAUCUGCUGGCUCAUUCAGUAAAGAGUCUGCCUGCAAUGCGGGAGACCCAGGUUCAAUCCCAGGGUUGGGAAGAUCCCCUGAAGAAGGAAAUGGCAACCCACUCCAGUAUUCUUCUCUGGAAAAUUACAUGGCCAGAGGAGCCUGGUGGGCUAGGGGUGACAAAAAGUUGGACACGACUGAGAAAUGAGAAAGUUUCACUUUCUCUAUUGAUGAUAUUUGGUUUGCUUCUAGGAUUCUGCUAUAUCAAAAAUAAAUCUAAAAUACAC